AUGAACGUUGGCGGCGUGCCUUAAGCAUGCAAAUCAAGGGGACCGCAAGGUAACCGGUGGACGGGUGAGUAAUGCGUGGGAAUAUACCUAGAAGUUGGACAUAGCCAGCCGAAAGGUUGGGUAAUUUCCAAUGUGAACGUAAGUUUAAAGCCGUAAGGCGCUUUUUGGAUUAGCCUGCGUCCUAUCAGCUAGUUGGUGGGGUAAUGGCCUACCAAGGCAUCGACGGGUAGCUGGACUGAGAGGUCGGUCAGCCACAAUGGUACUGCGACACGGACCAUACACCUACGGGUGGCAGCAACUGGGAAUAUUCGGCAAUGGGCGGAAGCCUGACCGAGCGACGCCGCGUGGAGGAUGAAGGCCUUCGGGUUGUAAACUCCUUUUGUAAGGGAAGAUUAUGACGGUACCUUACGAAUAAGCACUUGCUAACUACGUGCCAGAAGCCUCGGUAAUGCGUAGAGUGCAAACGUUAUCCGGAUUUAUUGGGCGUAAAGUGUUGCGUAGGCUGACUUACGCAUUUUGUUUGAAAGUCCAUGACUCAAUCAUGGUUUUGGACAAAAUAUGGUAAGUCUAGAUGGUAUGAGAGGGUGCUGGAACCGAUGGUGUAGCAGUGAAAUGCGUUGAUAUCAUCGGGAACACCAAAGGCGUAGGCAAGCACCUAGCAUACACAUGACGCUGAGGCACGAAAGCUAGGGGAGCGAAACAGAUUAGAGACCUGUGUAGUCCUAGCCGUAAACUAUGUCUGCUAGAUAGUUCGUCUUUUGACGAGCCGUCGUAGCUAACGCGUUAAGCAGACCGCCUGGGGAGUACGAGCGCAAGCUUAAAACUCAAAGGAAUUGACGGGGAACCCGCAACAAGCAGUGGAGCGUGUUGUUCAAUUCGAUACGAAACGAAAAAACCUCACCAGGGUUUGACAUGCUAGAGUUCCAUGCCUUGGAAACAAGGCAAAUGCGCAAGCAGGCUAGCACAGAUGCUGCAUGGCUGUCGUCAGCUCGUGGCGUGAGCUGUUACCUUAAGUGGUGAAACGAGCGCAACCCUCAUCCUGUGUUAAAUAAUUCACGGGAAAACAGCCCUGAUUUUUCAGGGAGGAAGGCGAGGAUGACGUCAAGUCAGCACGGUUUCUUACACCCUGGGCCACAAACACACUACAAUGGCGAAAAACAACGAGCAGCAAGUCGGCAACGGCAAGCUAAUCUCUUAAAUUUCGCCUCAGUUCAGAUUGGGAUCUGCAACCCGAUCCCAUGAAGUCGGAAUUGCUAGUAAUCGCAGAUCAGCGUGCUGCGGUGAAUACGUUCUCGGGUCUUGUACACACCGCCCGUCAAGCGAGCAAAGUUAGGGGCACCCGAACUCCCGUUAGGGAGGAAGGUGAAACUAGCGAUGAGCGCU
rnacentral:rRNA from 1 species